UUGUGUUGUUGUGUGUUUGGGAGAUUUACCACUCACUUACGAUGGUUGUUUUAUGCUUCAAAUGGUUUCAUAUAUUUUUUUUACUAACUUGGUAAUACAAAGGCAAAGCAGUGAAACAUUUCAGAUAUUGAAAUUGAACUUUUAUUAGACUUUAUGCAACUAGGAUUAGAUUGAGAAGAUUUGUCAGUGAGAGUCCUAACUGUUGAUUGGCUUUGAUUUUGCUGUUUCUGCAAUAUUAACCUGGUGCUUCUCUUCUCUUUUUUCUUUUUUGCCCCUUGCAAAUAGCGUGAAGAUGUAGCUUAUAAUUCUGACUACGGAACCCCCAUCCACACUCAUUGAUCUUCUUCCUUUCUCCAGUGGUGAUGAUAACUCAGCUUUAGCACCUGAGCGAUUGGAUUAGAGUGACAUUUUUGACGUGCAACAAUGAUGUAAUUUGCUUGAAUGUUCAUUUUUGUUUGAUAAGGAUACACAUACUUUUUGGAGUUGCACUAGUUAUUGUUGGAUUUUUGGUGGAAUUGAACAAGUUAUAACUUUUGGAUA